GAUGAACGCUGGCGGCGUGCCUAAUACAUGCAAGUCGAGCGAACAGACGAGGAGCUUGCUCCUCUGACGUUAGCGGCGGACGGGUGAGUAACACGUGGAUAACCUACCUAUAAGACUGGGAUAACUUCGGGAAACCGGAGCUAAUACCGGAUAACAUGUUGAACCGCAUGGUUCAACAGUGAAAGACGGUCUUGCUGUCACUUAUAGAUGGAUCCGCGCCGCAUUAGCUAGUUGGUAAGGUAACGGCUUACCAAGGCAACGAUGCGUAGCCGACCUGAGAGGGUGAUCGGCCACACUGGAACUGAGACACGGUCCAGACUCCUACGGGAGGCAGCAGUAGGGAAUCUUCCGCAAUGGGCGAAAGCCUGGCGGAGCAACGCCGCGUGAGUGAAGAAGGUCUUCGGAUCGUAAAACUCUGUUAUUAGGGAAGAACAAAUGUGUAAGAAACUAUGCACGUCUUGACGGUACCUAAUCAGAAAGCCACGGCUAACUACGUG
rnacentral:rRNA from 1 species